AACGUAGGAGACAAACGUUAUCCGGAGUUACUGGGCGUAAAGGGCGUGUAGGUGAUUGCGUAAGUCUGGCGUGAAAUAUCUCGGCUUAACCGAGGCAGGUCGUCGGAUACUGCGUAACUGGAGGACGGUAGAGGCGUGUGGAAUUCCGGGUGUAGUGGUGAAAUGCGUAGAGAUCCGGAGGAACACCAGUGGCGAAGGCGACACGCUGGGCCGUACCUGACACUGAUGCGCGACAGCAUGGGGAGCAAACAGG
rnacentral:rRNA from 1 species